UGGCUCAGUGGUUAAGAGCACUGGUUGUUCCUCCAGGAGACCUGGGUUCAAUUCCCAG
rnacentral:tRNA from 1 species